UAAUCAUAAAAUCAUGAAGAUUGAAAAAGACCGUGCCCAUUAACCACGUCAAGUAGAAGUCCAUCCUGCCUGAAUUAAUCUUUAACUUUGACUAACUUAGCCACUAACCUUUCACCUGAGCAGAUCAGACUUUUCCAGAGCUGACUAAUACCCAGGAUGUGCUACAAGAAGCAUAAGUUUAAAACCACAGAAUAUUUAGGAAUAUAGAAGACCAAAAGGAAGUAAAACUCCAUCUUGCUUGUUCAAGCCUGAAGGUGAGUAUCUUGCGGCCUGGGUGAAGAAACCACUACUACUUCUUUGAAAACAAGUGCCUGUUGUUUAAAAACAAGACACACUAACUCAACGAUUCUCAACUGUUACACCUUUUUACUGGAAGUAGAAGGUUUGUAUAGGUUAUUAUGAGCAGCAACAGCACAUAGCAGUUCUUUUCAAACCAUCUACGUAAUGGAAUUCUCCAACCCUCAGAGUCACCAUCUCCUCAGAAUUGCUAAUACUCACUACAGGAUAAUUCUACUGGGAUGCCCAAGUCUACAAAUAAUUGCAGAGCUGGACAGAAGACAGAAGUGUGAUAGAAGACGGAAGUGUGGUGAAGUCAUGGAAUGAGGAUGAUAAACUAGAAAGCAUUUGCAGGAGAACCUAAGUUUAUCCUCAUAACUACAGACAAAACAUGCCUCAUCUUAGUUAGCAAGCGGCACACACUUUUUUACUUGUCUAGUCAGUUAUUCCGGUUUAAUGUCCCAUUUAAACUAUCCAGCAGAACUCACCAGGACUACCAAACUAUUUCUAUUCAUGCCAGCCUCAAUUCCUGUAAACAGCAUCAACUCAAUGGCAAAGCACAGUCUGAUACACCGCAGUUUGCAAUCCAAUACACUAAAAAAUGUUAGAUUUUCUUAGCACAUUAGGAUGUAAACUGCAAUGGCGCAGGAGAUCCCACACUUCAAAUUCAGCUCCUCCUGCCAUAAAAGAAAGGUAGGACAGAUAGGAAGGGUGUUAUCAGUCACCUCACUCUAAAAUUUCUCAUUUGAAUAAACAUCUUAGGAGAAAAUGAAGCAACCCUCUGAUAUGUAUUUUGGAAAAGAAAAACAAGGUAGGUGUUGUUGAACUUAUUUUACCUUUUUCUCCUGCAGAAAUAAAGGUCAACAUUACUUUCUUUACUGCUCUGCCUGAUACAUCUGACCUUUCAGAAACAAGGACAAGAACUGUGUGUGAGAUCCACAGAAAGCCAAGCUUCUCUUUCUGGUGCAGUUGUUGUUUUGAAUCCCCAAUGGGAUCCUAGCCCUAGCCUAAGAUCAUUCCUUGGAGUCAACAAGCAAAAGUGUUGUGAAAUCAGGUGGCACUUGUUUAAAUAUGCAUCAGGGAUUUUAAAAAGGAUAAUAAUAAUGGUAGAAACAGAUUUUAAACAAAUACUUCAGGUCCACUUCAUUCACUUUUCACUUUAUUUUGCUGAGUACCUCCCAUAAUUAGUUACUGUUUAACAUCUGUAGAUAAAAAUAGUCCAUCAGAAGUAGUAAGGAAAUUCUGCCCUCGGAUUCACAUCUUGCAAGAAGUUGCUUUUAAAGAUCACUUAAAAAGUUAAUCUCAAAAGUCAUCCUUUCAACCAGAGGGGAGAAAAAACAAGGCUGUCAAAACUUGGCAGGAAAUCAUGGAAAAACAGCACACAUUCACUCUAUGCAAACACACUGAGUCGCAAAUAGUUAUCUAUGCUAAUUUAGGACUCAACCCCUUUCCACACCCAUCUAAAAAACAUCCCUGGUAAACAUGCAAGUCUCUAAUGCUCCACAAGGUCAACAAAUUCAAGCAGUAAGAACAGUAUUGAGAUGAUACCUAUGGUAAUGAAAUCCACCCUCAAAAACUCCACCUUCAAGGUGAUGGCAAAAUCUACCUAUUCCUUGGUGUGCGUAAGGCAGCAGCAUAAGAGAGCCACUGGAAUUCAUUCUGGAAUUAUUUGAUGUUAGGCAACGUCACUCAGAAGCAUACUUAGAAAGGUCAAUUCACUGAAAUGCGGUAAGACUGUCAAAUAUAAAAAGAACUUUCCUGAACUUCCAAGUUAACCUCCAGCAACUAAGAUGAUGAUUGUCAAAGUGAUUCACACAGCAGAUGACUUCAUGGAGUUUAAAAAUUAAUUCUGAAUCAGACAAACUAAUUUAAAAGGCCACAUACAUCAGAAAUACAGUGGCUUAAAAGUGUGACUGUCUGGAAACUCUUCAGUCAGCUUUCUCAAGGCCCUGAUGAGCUCUAAGCAGUUCUGAAAGACAGCACAUCAUAAUGAAAAGAUUGCAAUGUCCAUAGAUUGGUUUGUCAGAGUUUGCUUUCACACACUUUAGGUGGGCCUAAAGGUCCUAUGAAUUCUUCUUUUUUUUCUGUUUUAACUGGAUGCACACUUUGCACCAUUAAAAAUGUUUGUCAUGCCGUUUGUCAUGUCUAAAUGCCAAUAACCUUUUACAGUGCUUUAAGAAAUGGGAGGAGGGAAAACAUUCUGACCUUUUAUUAUUAUUAUUUUUUCUUUCUCUAGACACUGAUUCCUGAACGUGGAUCAAUUUGCUGUUUCAAAUGAUUGGAUGUUUGUCUGCUGACAAGCUCUGUAUUGAAUGCCCAGUAAAGGCAAAAUGAAGACCGAGCUUCUGGCAUGUUUGCUGAACUCAAAACAAGAGAGCUUUCAGACCAGAGCAGUGAAGCUUAACAAAUACCUGCUGCUAAAGGUUUCCUACUUUCAUGUUGUUUUUAGUAUAUUUUAAAAGUUUUUCCUCCCCAGUACGUUUUAGCUCACACAAGGAAAGACAGCAAAUUUCAGAAUUUCUGUUCCUUGUUCCUUAAUUAAAAAUAACAAUUUUACAGACAAUCAUCAUCCUACCUUAAGGAUAGGAUCAGCUGUUGGCAUCAGCUAAGACAGUAUCAGCAGAGCAGCUGAUGAAAAUACCUGAGACAUUUUUCAUAAUAUAAACCUGUGAAAAUAUAUUUGUCUUUCGGUAAACACAUAUACAUAUAUCAGAAUCACUAGCAACAAAGCACAAAUGCCUUUCAGUGCUUUUUCCUAGAUAGUACAUGCUAACAUAAAACAGAUAUUCAAGUAAAAUGGCAUCCAAUGUCAUGGUUUAGGUUUGGCUUUACCCUGAAGAGUGACUGGAAGGCCUAAACAUACAAAAGAAACACAAUUUAUUUAUUUGUUUUGGCUUCAACUCCAAAGAGCACAGUCUGACACUGCUAAUUUUUACUCCUACUAAUUUAUUAUAAAUCUCAAUACAAAACAGCUAAGAACUUGCUAGAGAAACAAGACAGAACAAUGACAGAAAUCUAUUCAAUUCUUAACUAUUUUUGUCUGUAUCAGCUACAAUCCAGAUAGCAAGCAGAAGAGAUGAUAAGAACAGGGAGAUUCUUGCAGAAGAAAUUAAGUGACAUAAUCUGGAUACCAUUAGGAAAGGAAGAGCUGGGUGAAGCUUCUUGCAUUAUUUAUGUCUUCACAGUGUAAAAUAAAAUAAAUAAAUAAAGACACUUGUUCAUUAAAAACUUA